rnacentral:rRNA from 1 species
AAUACCGGGUGGCGACCGGCGCACGGGUGAGUAACACGUAUCCAACCUGCCGAUGACUCGGGGAUAGCCUUUCGAAAGAAAGAUUAAUACCCGAUGGCAUAGUUCUUCCGCAUGGUGGAACUAUUAAAGAAUUUCGGUUAUCGAUGGGGAUGCGUUCCAUUAGGCAGUUGGUGGGGUAAUGGCCCACCAAACCUUCGAUGGAUAGGGGUUCUGAGAGGAAGGUCCCCCACAUUGGAACUGAGACACGGUCCAAACUCCUACGGGAGGCAGCAUG